rnacentral:misc_RNA from 1 species
CGACGACCGCGAGACGCGGGUUGAGGCGCGGGGAGGGAGCGGCGCGGGAGCCGCUCGCCCCAUUCAGCUACGACAAACGUUCGCGCACACAACGUCAUAAUUGUACUUACUUAAAGUAAAUUACCUAAAGUAAACCAGUAAUCAUCAUAAACCUCGCAUUAUUUUAUUUUCUUGCCUUAAUAUCUUUAACAAGAAAUUGGCGACCAGACGAAGACUUAAAUCUGCAAAAAAUCGGAUAUUUACUGAUACAAAAUCCAGUUCGGACGAGUGAGUGCGUGGCACACAUUGCAGCGCGCAUCGGACUUUGCGCCGAGAACAAAGGAAAGGACUACCUUUGGAAUUCUAAACGGUGAAAGUGCAGUGCUUCGACGAGUCAGCGGCUCCCAGGGAAGUACUAGUGCCCAUCCUUUUUUCUAUCCUUCCUUUAUCCAUCGAUUUGCGUACUUGCGGGUUUUGAUUUGCAAAUUGCAUUAGAUUAGCUUUAAAUAAGUGCUAUUUACAUAAAUAAAAUUUGCAUAAAUAACAAUUGUUCGCACAAAUUAGCUACUUUCAUAAUCAUAAUAAAGUGCUAUUCCUGGUGAUAUUGCGUUUGAUAGCUAUGAGCACGUUAUUAGCCUAAAAUUGCACAUAAAACAUAAAAUACCGACUGUUUACGUUCUAAAAUCACUGGCUUCUUACAAUAAAUUAAUAAUUUCACUUAUUUAACUACAACUCAAGCGAGAUAUUUGGCAUAUUCUGCUUAAUCUAAUAGGAUUUACGUACGUGUUACAUAAUUACUUACAUUUCCAGUGUUUACUGCCGUUUAUUUCAUCUAAUUUCUCAUAAAUCAUAAAUAAAUUAAUCGUAAAAUCUCUUCAUUUAAAAUAAUAUUUCUUCGCGUAACCUAAAAGUUGCUGUUGCUUAACAUAUUGGCCGACUAUUCCAGGGAGUACCUACGGCGCAUCGUCGCCGGCUGGCAGGUCACCGCGUGACCUUGUUGACCUUCAUAACUCACGCCGCGCGCCAUCGCCGCUUCUCCGCUGGGAACUCAUACGCUGUUGCUGCGCUGGAACUUCGACUUUGUAACUGUAUCGGUUCCCCGACACGCGCUCUGCGUGGCACCUACUGUCUGCGAGCUACAUUGCUUCGUAGACGCAUCAAAGGACGCCUACGCAGCGUGUGCGUACUUACGCACAGUGAAUCAAACUAAUCAAGGCAUUUUCUCGUCGGACGGCCGCUAACAUCACUGCCGUCACCUCCAAUGGCUACUACGAAGAAGCUGACAUCCAGAUACCAGCUAAUCGAAGCUUUACGAGAGCACUUUUGGAUAAGAUGGCAUAAUGAAUAUCUAUCCGAACUACAAAAGAGAACCAAAUGGCGAUCUCCUUACACAAGCCUUAAAGAAGGAUCGAUGGUGGUUUUUAAGGAAAAUAAUGUACCGCCUAUGAAGUGGAGACUGGGAAGACUUCACAGACAUUACCCAGGCAAGGACGGGGUCGCGCGCGUUGCUGAUUUCGUGACGUACAGAGGAAUCGAGCGACGAGCUCUGAAUAAAGUAUGCCCCCUGAUGUUAGAAGAGGAUAUGUUGGAGAAAGCCUCGACUUCAACCAUUCCCGUGGUUUCUUCGGCUUCCCCCAAGGCCCCCCAGGAUGUCUACGACGACCGCGAGACGCGGGUUGAGGCGCGGGGAGGGAGCGGCGCGGGAGCCGCUCGCCCCAUUCAGCUACGACAAACGUUCGCGCACACAACGUCAUAAUUGUACUUACUUAAAGUAAAUUACCUAAAGUAAACCAGUAAUCAUCAUAAA